rnacentral:rRNA from 1 species
UACGUAGGGUGCGAGCGUUGUCCGGAAUUAUUGGGCGUAAAGGGCUCGUAGGCGGUCUGUCGCGUCGGGAGUGAAAACUCAGGGCUUAACCCUGAGCCUGCUUCCGAAACUGCCCGACUAGAGGUAGGUAGGGGAGAUCGGAAUUCCUGGUGUAGCGGUGAAAUGCGCAGAUAUCAGGAGGAACACCGGUGGCGAAGGCGGUGGUCUGGGCCGGCACUGACGCUGAGGAGCGAAAGCGUGGGGAGCAAACAGG